GAGUUUGAUCCUGGCUCAGAUUGAACGCUGGCGGCAUGCCUUACACAUGCAAGUCGAACGGCAGCACGGGAGCUUGCUCCUGGUGGCGAGUGGCGAACGGGUGAGUAAUGCAUCGGAACGUAUCCUGGAGUGGGGGAUAACGUAGCGAAAGUUACGCUAAUACCGCAUAUUCUGUGAGCAGGAAAGCGGGGGACCUUCGGGCCUCGCGCUCUUGGAGCGGCCGAUGUCGGAUUAGCUAGUUGGUGAGGUAAAGGCUCACCAAGGCGACGAUCCGUAGCAGGUCUGAGAGGAUGAUCUGCCACACUGGAACUGAGACACGGUCCAGACUCCUACGGGAGGCAGCAGUGGGGAAUUUUGGACAAUGGGGGCAGCCCUGAUCCAGCCAUGCCGCGUGAGUGAAGAAGGCC
rnacentral:rRNA from 1 species